UGCAGUCGACGCUUUGUGGUUCAACUGAUUUGAAGAGCUUGCUCAGAUAUGACGAUGGACAUUGCAAAGAGUGGCGAACGGGUGAGUAACACGUGGGAAACCUACCUCUUAGCAGGGGAUAACAUUUGGAAACAGAUGCUAAUACCGUAUAACAAUAGCAACCGCAUGGUUGCUACUUAAAAGAUGGUUCUGCUAUCACUAAGAGAUGGUCCCGCGGUGCAUUAGUUAGUUGGUGAGGUAAUGGCUCACCAAGACGAUGAUGCAUAGCCGAGUUGAGAGACUGAUCGGCCACAAUGGGACUGAGACACGGCCCAUACUCCUACGGGAGGCAGCAGUAGGGAAUCUUCCACAAUGGGCGAAAGCCUGAUGGAGCAACGCCGCGUGUGUGAUGAAGGGUUUCGGCUCGUAAAACACUGUUGUAAGAGAAGAAUGACAUUGAGAGUAACUGUUCAAUGUGUGACGGUAUCUUACCAGAAAGGAACGGCUAAAUACGUGCCAGCAGCCGGCGG
rnacentral:rRNA from 1 species